GGAGGAGUGUAUCUCAUCGGUAGAAUAUCUGCUUAGCAUGCAGAAUGUCCCCGGUUCAAUCCUUGGCAUCUCCA
rnacentral:tRNA from 1 species